GGACCGAGUAUGUCCUGAGUGUUGGUUAGAUGUUACCUAUAGUCAUGAGUGAGGUCAUCAUCCCGGGUUUAGUUGUUAUGUCACUUUAGUCUUUCGUCACAAAGCAGGUGCGGCAGGAGCUGGAAUUCCCACAAUCUUUUCUAUCUGAUCUUGUGAUGCCACAGUCAUAUCCAGGGCUGGGAUUGGAUCUUGCCCUCCAAGAGCAUCGAAUGGGUCCUGGGAACUCGCCCUCUCCUCACAGCGCAGCCGUGAGACGUGCUUCCCAACCGGACUCUGGGACCAACAGCCCCUCCUGUUGGCCACGUUGGGUCUUUACCAAGACCAGGGUCCUGAAGUGUGGAUCCAGGAAGGGCCCUGCACAACUCACUCAUGUUACAGGUGGGGAAACUGAGUCACGGCGUCCUCAGAGGCAUUUUCUGUGGUUACACCAGCCCUUAAUCUCAAAACUGCAACUACAACUCAAAGGUCCUGAUGCCAAGGUCAGUUUUCUCUGUUCCUCUCAUGCCCACAGAGAGGUCCCAGCCUUGGUUUGUGUUUUAUUGUCUCCUCUGGGGAGAUCUCCCCCAUUUGGAGGUUGAAUACUCUUCAUAUGUCUCAGACUGAGAAAAAGACUCUUUUCCCCAGGACGAAGUCCUCCAAAGACCCUUGUCUCUUUCUUUUUCUUUUUCUUGCUAUGGCUGCACGUGUGGCAUAUGGAAGUUCCCAGCCUAGGGGUUGAAUCAGAGCUGCAGCUGCUGGCCUACACCACAGCCACAGCAAUGCCAGAUCCAAGCAGCAUCUACAACCUACAUCAUAGCUUGCUGCAAUACGGGAUACUUAACCUGCUCAUCAAGGCCAGGGAUAGAACCCACAUCCUCAUGGAUACUAGGCAGGUUUUUUACCCACCAAGCCACAAUGGGAACUCCACUUGUCUCUUUUAAAGAAAAGAAAAACAAGCAUCCUUGGAUCAGCAUCUUCAGAUCCAAGGCAUCUUCCUUUAAUCUUUCCAGUAUGCCUGUUUAAAUUAAAAAAAUUUUUUUUUCUGUGUUUUAGGGCCACACCCACAGCCUAUGGAAGUUCCCAGGCUAGGGGUCAAAUCAGAGCUGUAGAUGCCAGCCUACACCACAGCCACAGCAACACUGGAUCCAGGCCACAUCUUUGACCUACACCCCAGCCACAGCAACGCCAGAUCCGAGCUGUGUCUGCGACCUACACCACAGCUCAUGGCAACACCGGAUCCUUAACCCACUGAGCAAGGCCAGGGAUCAAACCCGGGAGCUCAUGGUUCCUAGUCGGAUUCGUUAACCCCUGAGCCACAACAGGAACUCCAGUCCCCAGACAAGUCUUACAGCCAUUGCUCCCUGCCUUCUCCCCCCGUGUUGUCCCUGGACAGUUUAUCAAACCCCAUCACAGAAGUGCCACCCUCCACCCAGAGAGGCAGGCGCAGGGCAUCUCCGCUCGUGUUCCCGGAGUGUGGUAGGACGGAUUUGUGGCCUGGAACGACCUCCGCCUUUCACACAUAUCAACACGGGCCCUGGCUUUUCCCUGCUCCUCCGGAAAGACUUUUGACAAUAACACUCCCAUAUAUUAGCAGCAGGCCUGGCCCUGGUUUUAUGAUCGAGCUGGGUUCUGUUUGUACUGAAGCGCAUUCCAUUCUCCAUUUAGUCUGGGGACAAGCCUUAGAGGGAAUGCACCUCGAACAAAAUAAAACACCACUCUCAGGAGAAAAGAGACUGGGUUCCAGGCCUUUGACCAAACGAGAGUUCAUUCUUUGCUCCCACCCCCUCCAGCUCAUGCCUCACUCAUCAGCAGGUUGUCGUGUUCAGCUGAAACACGGUCAAGAGGCAAAGCUGGCAGCUGAGCCCUCCCUUGAGGCCGCGUCGUCUCAGUCACUUGCAAGGCCCUCGGGUUUGGCCAGAAGUGAUGCAGCAGGGCUGUGGCCAGAGCACUGCCUUUUUUGUAAGCCAGAGAGCAACGAUUAACUAAUAGAUCAACAUCAUUAUCAGGAGACAUAUAAAUAGAUGUUUUGCUUGCUGUCUGCCAUUGCAUGCACGGAGAACUGGAACUACAUUAAGUGGCUAAUUCUGUCUGAGAGUGUAGACGGCCUUAUUAGGCUUUGUUGCAAAGGGUGAUUUCAAAGGAACACAGGCAUCUCUCUCUUGCUCUCUCGCUCUGCCCUCUCUCUCUCCCGGGAGAGCUGUGGGAAGUGAAAAGGACUUUCUUUAUCGAGCAGAUUCUAAUAAUCCAGUGUGAGAGGAGGGAUACCAUGUAUUUUGCAGUUUCUGAACCAGGCCCUGGUUUGAAAUAACAAGCAAAACCUACACGAGGUGUUUUUUUUUGUUUGUUUGUUUGUUUGUUUGUUUGUUUUUCAGCCCUGGCUGCUAAUUCCAACAGUCAUGGAUGUUUUUGCAUUUGUCUGUUCAGCUUCUAAGCUGAGCUCAUCCUCAGGGUGCAUGAAGCUUAGAGCAGCCUUGACAACCAUCUUUGAGAAAAGAUUUUUUUUUUUUCCCAGCUUAUUGAACCCAGAGAAAACAAAAACACAAAAAACUCUUUUCUAGUUCUCUAAUGUGUAAGGCAAACUUUUAUAUACACACACACACACACACACCCCUGCAUUUUCGAUUUUGAAACAAUCACUAACUUACAGAAAGCAGCAAGUCGAGGUCAAGUCACCUGUCCUCCUUAGACUAUUUGAGAAUAAGUUUCUAAUCUGACACCCUAUCCCCCUUGAAUAAAGACAAGGAUAUUCUCCUCCGUAAUCAUUAUACAACCAUGCACAUCAGGAAUUUAACAGUGAUCCUCAGAUCUAUUAAAAUUUCACCAAUUAUCCUAAUUUUUUUUAUAGCUAAAGGAAGUCAUUCAGAAUCUCACUUUGCAUUUUUUUUUUUUUUUGUCUUUUUGCCUUUUCUAGGGCCGCUCCCACGGCAUGUGGAGGUUCCCAGGCUAGGGGUCUAAUUAGAGCUGUAGCCGCCGGCCUAUGCCAGAGCCACAGCAACUUGACAUCCGAGCUGCGUCUGCAACCUACACCACAGCUCACAGCAACACCGGAUCCUUAACCCACUGAGCAAGGCUAGGGAUCAAACCCAAAACCUCAUGGUUCCUAGUCAGAUUUGUUAACCACUUUGCCACGAUGGGAAUUCUGCAUUCUGUUAUCUUGUCUCCCCAGUCUCCUUCCUUCUAGAACAUUCCUCAGGCUUUCCUUGACUUUCAUGACUUGACAUUUUUGAAGAUGACAGGCCAGCCUCCGUCUGGUUUUGCCUGAUGUUCUUUUGUGAUUAUAUUCAGGUUCUGUGUGUUUGGCAAGAGUAUCACAGAAGCGAUGCUGUGUUCUUCUCACUUCAUCCUGUCUGUAGUCCAUGAUUCCUUUGUCUCAUUAUUGGGGAUGUGUCCUUUGAUCCCUUGAUGAGGUAAUGUCUGUCAGGCCCUUUUUUCUCCUUUGUAAUCAGUAAGUAUUUUAGGGGGAGAGACUUUGUGGCUAAAAAGGCAUUAUUUUUGUAUCUUAUAAGGAGUCAGUAUUUUAACUCAACUAAGACUUUGGAGACAUAAGUUCCAGAUCUGGUAGGAAAGAGACAAAACAGCUCUCCUGAAGUAGAGUCCCCUUGGAGAGGACCCAGGAAGAGGGACAUGGGUGGUGGUUUCCCAAGAAACUCCUAAAAGUGGUGAUUUGUACCCUUCCUGGAGAUUUUUGUAGGGGGAUAAAAAUCACUGGAAAAAGUCCUUGUCCCUUUGUCUUCAGUUUCCACCUGGACCUGUGGUACAGGAUGAGACGCUUCACGUUGACAGGGUGGUGUGAGUUUUUGCUUAGAUUUGUCCCAUUCCUAACUCAUAAAAGCCUUCCAAGGGUUAGGAAUUGGACUUGUAGAACUUCCGGAGGAUGCCUGAAACCACAGGACCAAGCAGCUGAAGGGUUUUUCUGGCCAAGAACUAAGAAGAACAGUAUUGAGCCCUUUGUGGGAUAUCUUUUUACUAGGAAGCCUCUAGGCAUUGGAUAAAGUGGAGUAGCCUAGACAUGGUGGCCAGCGGGACUGUUUUUAAUGCCCUGCACUCUAUCAUAUACUGAGACAAAGGUAAUGCUGGUAUUGCUUUCAUUUCAAAAAAUAAGGUCAAUGGGGAAUUCCCACUGUGGCUCAGCGGGUUAAGACCCCAACUAGUAUCCAUGAGGAUGCAGGUUCAAUCCCUGGCCUGGCUCAGUGAGUUAAGGAUCUGGCAUUGCCGUGAGCUGCAGCAUAGGUCGAAGAUGCAGCUUGGAACUGGCAUUGCUGUGGCUGUGAUGUAGGCUGGCAGCUGCAGCUCUGAUUUGACCCCUCCCCUGGGAAAACUUCCAUAUGCCAUGCGUGUAGCCAUUUAAAAAAAGGGGGAAAAAAAAAAAAAGUCAUUGGAUGUUGAGUUACUAGCACUUCAGCCCUACAGCCAAUGCCUAGAGCCCUGUUUCCUGACUCCCAACCUUGGGAAGCCUGUGGAAGUCAGAGACCCCGGGACCCUCACUCACAAUACCACCACCUCUGCUCAAGAGGCAAGUCUCUUGGUUCCCACGGGCCCUCUCUGAAAUUGCUCCCACCCCCAUAAUUGCUGUAAUCUCCUGAGAGCACAGUCUCCCACUUUGUUAUUAAUGUGUCAGAUGCAAUGGAAUCAAGACCAAAACUUAUUCCUUAUUAUGAGACUGACCCUUAUAGAGAUCUAUGGAAUAUGACAGAUAUAACUUAUCAUUACAACAAAUAUUAUAAUAAGCCAUCUUAUUUGAUUAAAUGGCUUUAGAACCCAGAACCUUAUUUGCCAGAAAAUAUUUUGAUUAUUUGGAUGGACAUUUUUUCCAUAUGAAGUCAUUCCAAUGGGCCUGUGAUUUUUUAAAAAUUUUUAGAAACUUCUAUCUGACACUUCUAACCUGCUAUCUUAUAAUAAAAGGUACAGUGCAAUUCUCCUGUGGUGCAGCAGGUUAAGGAUCUGG
ensembl:lncRNA